AGAGGUAUACAUUUUAUAACACCAUGUACAAUCCUAUUAAGCUUAGUAAAACGUAUACACGAAUGUAUCAUCUAACGUAUGGUCGUAGCUUCUCCUAUGUCUGUGGAAAACCCUAAUCUCCUCUACCCACUAUCAGUCGUCGUUUCUUCCAAAUCUAUUCCGUCUACCUCCUUACUUUCUUCAAUCUCUGAUAGGUGUCCGUUGCCACCACCCUCCUAAAUUCGUCGCUAUUGCCACCCUCCCGACGUUGUCGUUACCUUCACCGGCGUCUACAGCCCUGCUUCUACCUUAUGUCUAGAUGAGAAACCCUAACUCUAUGUCGCUGCCACCAUCAAUGCCACCACCAGACACUGUUAACUGCAAGCCCUAACCCUAGAUUGGCUCCACCAUCGCCACCAGACAUCACACACCAUAAACAAGAAAAAACCCCCAUCAUGAAUGAUUUCUCAUUCCCCUUUGUGUCACACCACUAUUUCACCCAUACCGCACCACCACCAAUUAUGCGAUUACACCGCCAAAUAUUUCUAUCUUUGUCUCCAUCUGCUCCCGCACUACUUCUCAUGCAAUGAACCCCUACGACUGCCAUUUCACUCAUCAAUCUUCUUCCUGUUGUCUCGCUCAAAAACGUCAACCCCUAUCACCUUCCUUUUGUUGUCUGUGUUAACCGGUGUGUGUGUGUGGGUUUCGAUUUCAUUUGCUAGGGCUUAGAUGGUCUUGAAGUCCUCCAAGGGUGUAUUGAAAAAACAAGAGAAAGGUCCAAAAAUCUGGAACUUUCCAUCCGACGAAUGUUGAAUCAACCUCCGGUUUUUCGUGGUGUUUUACAAUUUUAACAGGUUACCCUCCUUUUUAUUGCUUUAUUGAGUUGAACAAACCAUUUCAUAUUUGUGAUUUUGGUAUUUCAUUUUCUUUUUCUAUCACAUCCCUUACAGGUUCGUUUUUACACAUAAAGAUACUGGUUGUGUUGAACCUAUAAUCCCUAGAUAUUGACCCGCUGCUUCCCUCACCACCAGUGGUUGCCGCUUCUUCCCUCACUGAUAAAUGGUUGUGGUUUCAGGGGAAUCAACUCUUAGAUCAUGCUUUCUUUGUUUGGAUUUUUGAAGUAAUUAAUAGUUGUUGGGAAAACUUCCUUUUUUGGUUAGAUAAAUUGACUAGAAUGAGUUUUUACUUGUAUUCCUGUGACCUUUUAUCGAUGUUUUUUCAUAUGAUAGUUCCAGUAGCAUUCAAUAUGCUUGUAGUCAAUGCUUAUUUGCUCAAUUAUAUAUGAUCAUAACCCUACUAUGCUUCUAAAGGCUAACCCCAAGCUUCUGUUUUUACCGGUCUUAACGUUUGUCUUCAUUAUAGCUUGCAGGUGGUCAACACUGAAUGCAAAAAUUGACAAAAAUAGAAGCUUGGAGUACAUAUCAAACUUUUAGUUGGUAAUUUUUUUAGUGUAAUGUUUUAGUAUAAAAUUCUUUUUUGGUAAAUGUUUGUGUAUGUUUUUAUUUACAAUAGAUGGAUGUAAAUGAUGGGUUUAUGGCAGAUUGUAGGAUACGAAUGUUCGUUUGUGUUUGUUUGGCUUUAUGUUCAUUUGCUGUAAUUUUUGGACCAUUUUCAUCCUGAUCUUGAGUGCUUACAGUUCCAUACACCACGUAUGUAUUGAUAUUUUGAUUCCGUACAUUGGGUGCAGGUAGCCUCUGGUAGCUUGAUGAGUUAAUUUUCUUGAAUCUUUUUUCCCUUGAUUUUUUUUGUGCAACAGAUGAUAAAAUUACUUGGAGUCAUGCAGUUUGUUUGAAGGAUCAUUGUACGCAGUCGUUGGACCAAUAUCAUGCUGUAAAUUAUAACUUAUUGUAGAGGAGGAGAGUGAUAUUUCUUAUACACCUGAAGAAAUUGUGGUUAGUAAUUAGGCAAAAUAUAGUACACUAUAAACAAUUCUUGCUGGGUUUGAGUAUACAUGUUUUUUUUAUGAUUUCUGUAAAUAGAUUUGUGGGAUUAUUUUACAAAUUUUCUUGAUUUUCAGGUAAUAAAUUCCAUCCAUUUUUGGUA